ACACGUGGAUAACCUACCCUCAGGUCGGGGAUAAACCCGGGAAACUGGGUAUAAUACCCGCUAGAUCUCGAAUGCUGGAAUGCGUCGAGAUUGAAAGCUCCGGCGCCCGAGGAUGGAUCUGCGGCCUAUCAGGUAGUAGUGGGUGUAGCGUACCUACUAGCCUACGACGGGUACGGGUUGUGAGAGCAAGAGCCCGGAGAUGGAUUCUGAGACACGAAUCCAGGCCCUACGGGGUGCAGCAGGCGCGAAAACUUUACAAUGCCGGCAACGGCGAUAAGGGGACCUCGAGUGCCAGGUUACAAAUCUGGCUGUCGAGAUGCCUAAAAAGCAUUUCAUAGCAAGGGCCGGGCAAGGCCGGUGCCAGCCGCCGCGGUAACACCGGCGGCUCGAGUGGUAACCGUUAUUAUUGGGUCUAAAGGGUCUGUAGCCGGCCGGAUAAGUCUCUUGGGAAAUCUGGCAGCUUAACUGUCAGGCUUUCAGGAGAUACUGUUCGGCUCGAGGCCGGGAGAGGUGAGAGGUACUUCAGGGGUAGGGGUGAAAUCUUGUAAUCCUUGAAGGACCACCAGUGGCGAAGGCGUCUCACCAGAACGGACCUGACGGCAAGGGACGAAAGCUAGGGGCACGAACCGGAUUAGAUA
rnacentral:rRNA from 1 species